rnacentral:tRNA from 1 species
GUCCCUGUCGUCUAGUCUGGCCAAGGACACAGGCCUUUCGAGCCUGGAACACGGGUUCAAAUCCCGUCGGGGACG